UCGAGAAUCUUUCACAAUGGGCGAAAGCCUGAUGGAGCGACGCCGCGUGGGGGAUGAAUGGCUUCGGCCCGUAAACCCCUGUCAUUCGCGAGCAAGGCCGCCGGCCUAACACGUCGGCGGUUGAUAGUAGCGAAAGAGGAAGGGACGGCUAACUCUGUGCCAGCAGCCGCGGUAAUACAGAGGUCCCAAGCGUUGUUCGGAUUCACUGGGCGUAAAGGGUGCGUAGGUGGCGAGGUAAGUUCGAUGUGAAAUCCCCGGGCUCAACCCGGGAAUGGCAUUGAAUACUAUCUGGCUAGAGGGUCGGAGGGGAGACUGGAACUCUCGGUGUAGCAGUGAAAUGCGUAGAUAUCGAGAAGAACACCAGUGGCGAAGGCGAGUCUCUGGACGACUCCUGACACUGAGGCACGAAAGCUAGGGGAGCAAACAGG
rnacentral:rRNA from 1 species